rnacentral:lncRNA from 1 species
CAGGUCUGUCCUGAAAAGUACAAUGGUGCAAGGGUACCCAAAUUUCUACAAGUGUUCUACAACGAUGCAGUGAGACCCCAAGAAAAGGUUUUCGCUUGGCACUGGAUACACCUGCAUGGGUACAUACCACCCUUGGCCUACCGUGAUCAGGAUCUUAAGUGCUUGGAUAUAUAACUGGAGCAAGACAAGUGGCGGCGGAAGAUGUACAGUCACUCUCAAUAUGACGCAUCACGGGAGCGCGUGGUAUCAUGAGUUCAAAGACUGGCCAUGGCUUCCACUAGCCCUUAUUUCCAUAACUAAAUGCUGUUCUCGCACUCGGGGAUGAUUCCAAAUAAGAAAAUAUCAUUUAGUUGCUGAAAUGAAAACACGUUGAACCCAUGCGCAAUCUUUGAACUCAUGAGGCCACACGCUCCCGUAUUGCAAGUCAUACUGAGUGGAAAAAAGUUUCUGCUAAAAGAUUCUAUAUAAAAGUGGAAAAGUGAUUCUGCUACUCCAUGUAAUCCUGCAGUCUGCUAAGCAGGGCAAGCUCUAGAAGUAUGCCCACAAACAAUGCUGUCGAUAUGGUUGCGGUUUGCCUAGUCUAGGAAUGGCUACAAUUUAUGCCUAUUGAUGCCCAUUUCCACUGGGCAGCAAGUUUGCCAGUUUCCCAGCAUUACAUCAUGAAUGUAGUGAUCA